rnacentral:rRNA from 1 species
UACAGAGGGGGCGAGCGUUGUUCGGAAUUACUGGGCGUAAAGGGCGCGUAGGCGGCCCGCUAAGUCGAACGUGAAAUCCCCAGGCUCAACCUGGGAACUGCGUCCGAUACUGGCAGGCUUGAAUCCGGGAGAGGGAUGUGGAAUUCCAGGUGUAGCGGUGAAAUGCGUAGAUAUCUGGAGGAACACCGGUGGCGAAGGCGGCAUCUGGACCGGUAUUGACGCUGAGGAGCGAAAGCCAGGGGAGCAAAGCGGG